GGUUCCGUGGUCCAGUGGUCAAGACUCAUCGUUGUGGUUCCUCUUCAACACCUCCGAUGCAACCCGUGUUCGAUUCACGGCGGAGCCA